rnacentral:lncRNA from 1 species
GACAGGAUUAAAUAAGUUUAUGUAAUCAGGUUUGAGUUUAGCGUAAUGACUGUGUGUGUGUGUGUGUGUGUGUGUGUGUGUGUGUGUGUGUGUGUGUGUGUGUGUGUGUGUGUGUGUGUGUGUGUGUGUGUGUGUGUGUGUGUGUGUGUGUGUGUGUGUGUUUGUGCUAUAUCGCCGAAGGAAGGAAAGAGAGAGAGAGAGAGAGAGAGAGAGAGAGAGAGAGAGAGAGAGAGAGAGAGAGAGAGAGAGAGAGAGAGAGAGAGAGAGAGAGAGAGAGAGAGAGAGAGAGAGAGAGAGCGAGAGAGAGAGAGAGAGAGAGAGAGACUUUUACCAUAGAGUGUGGGAGGGGGGGGAGACAUACUUCCAUCCUCGAUGUGAAUCUCCUGGAGGCUGAGCAAACCUCCUUCUCCACUUCACACACUCUACACGCGCAAUCUUCACCGCGGACUGCUCACUCUUCACCCGGGAGUGCUCACCCCUUCACCCGGGAGUCAACCCGCUUCCCUCAAGAGGACCACCGAGUUUAACAAUCGGCGGGACACAAGAACUUUCCGCCGGCAGAGUUCCCGUCUGUCCGCACUACACGGUCCGUCCUCCCGGAGCAGGUCGGGCUGAGGCUCGCUGGUCGGAGAGAUGAUACUAGUCUGCCCCUCCCUGCUCCUGGCUCUCUGUCUGCUGGGCUCCGGGACCGGUGGUCCUCCGACCCGGGGCUCCCCGCCCAGGGCGAGUCUGGGUCAGCUGGAGCGUUGGGGGCGGAGCGCCGUGCAGUACCUGAAGCUCCAGCGGUGUCGCCGCGUGGGCUCCUCCCCGGCCGUGGGGGGCUGCAGGCCUGACGGGAUGCAGCUCCUUAACGCCGCCCUGUACGUAUCGGAGCUGGUCACCCACCUAGGAGCUCCAGAAAAGGUGGUGGCCCUGCUCCCGGACUCCUCGGACCCCACGGGGCUGGGGGUCUACAGAGCGGGGGGCGGCCCUCGGCCCACGGCAGCCCACGACGCGGUCCUGCUAGUGGAUCCAAGCCCCGGGGAGAACUUCGGCCAUCCUGUGGUUCUGUUUUACGUGGACAUGAACGUGACCAAGAAACGCUGUUCGCUCAUGGAGGGCCUUUACUUCGGGGAGGAGUGUUUGACUCUGGCAUUGAAGGGUCGCUGUCAGAACCAGUUGAAGCGUCGUUCGUCCACGUCCCAGCGGUUGCUUAGAAACCUUGAGCGGAGGGCAGGGCCAUGUGAGGUCACCUUCCUUCCCCUAGUGGUUGGACUGAGAGACAGCAACAAAACACAGAGACUCAGGUGUAUCGAGCACCCUGAGUUUGGGCCGUGCCCCCGGACCCUUCCCCCACCCCCCCCCCAUCCAGCAGUUGUCCAGCUGUGA